rnacentral:rRNA from 1 species
UAGGGAAUCUUCCGCAAUGGACGAAAGUCUGACGGAGCAACGCCGCGUGAGUGAAGAAGGAUUUCGGUUCGUAAAACUCUGUUGUUAGGGAAGAAAAAAUGUAUAGUAACUAUAUACAAAAGAGACGGUACCUAACCAGAAAGGGACGGCUAACUACGUGCCAGCAGCCGCGGUAAUACGUAGGUCCCGAGCGUUGUCCGGAUUUAUUGGGCGUAAAGCGAGCGCAGGCGGUUAGAAAAGUCUGAAGUGAAAGGCAGUGGCUCAACCAUUGUAGGCUUUGGAAACUGUUUAACUUGAGUGCAGAAGGGGAGAGUGGAAUUCCAUGUGUAGCGGUGAAAUGCGUAGAUAUAUGGAGGAACACCGGUGGCGAAAGCGGCUUUUUGGCCUGCAACUGACACUGAGGCGCGAAAGCGUGGGGAGCAAACAGG